AGUGAACGCUGGCGGUAGGCCUAACACAUGCAAGUCGAACGGCAGCACAGUAAGAGCUUGCUCUUACGGGUGGCGAGUGGCGGACGGGUGAGGAAUACAUCGGAAUCUACUUUUUCGUGGGGGAUAACGUAGGGAAACUUACGCUAAUACCGCAUACGACCUACGGGUGAAAGCAGGGGAUCUUCGGACCUUGCGCGAUUGAAUGAGCCGAUGUCGGAUUAGCUAGUUGGCGGGGUAAAGGCCCACCAAGGCGACGAUCCGUAGCUGGUCUGAGAGGAUGAUCAGCCACACUGGAACUGAUACACGGUCCAGACUCCUACGGGAGGCAGCAGUGGGGAAUAUUGGACAAUGGGCGCAAGCCUGAUCCAGCCAUACCGCGUGGGUGAAGAAGGCCUUCGGGUUGUAAAGCCCUUUUGUUGGGAAAGAAAAGCAGCAGGUUAAUACCCCGCUGUUCUGACGGUACCCAAAGAAUAAGCACCGGCUAACUUCGUG
rnacentral:rRNA from 1 species